GGAAUAUUGGGCAAUGGACGGAAGUCUGACCCAGCCAUGCCGCGUGCAGGAUGAAGGCCUUCUGGGUUGUAAACUGCUUUUAUCUAGGGAGAAAAAGUCCAUGCGUGGAAAACUGACGGUACUAGAUGAAUAAGCACCGGCUAACUCCGUGCCAGCAGCCGCGGUAAGACGGAGGGUGCAAGCGUUGGCCGGAUUUAGUGGGGUUAAAGGGUGCGUAGGCGGCCCGUUAAGUCAGUGGUGAAAGCCUCCAGCUCAACUGGAGAACUGCCAUUGAUACUGACGGGCUUGAGUACAGACGAGGUUGGCGGAAUUGAUUGUGUAGCGGUGAAAUGCAUAGAUACAAUCAAGAACUCCGAUUGCGUAGGCAGCUAACUAGGCUGUAACUGACGCUGAGGCACGAAAGCGUGGGGAGCGA
rnacentral:rRNA from 1 species